UACAGAGGUCCCAAGCGUUGUUCGGAUUCACUGGGCGUAAAGGGUGCGUAGGUGGUGGGGUAAGUCGGAUGUGAAAGCUCGGAGCUCAACUCCGAAAUGGCAUUGGAAACUACCCUGCUAGAGGAUUGGAGGGGGGACUGGAAUACUUGGUGUAGCAGUGAAAUGCGUAAAUAUCAAGUGGAACACCAGUGGCGAAGGCGAGUCCCUGGACAAUACCUGACACUGAGGCACGAAAGCUAGGGGAGCAAACAGG
rnacentral:rRNA from 1 species